rnacentral:rRNA from 1 species
AUGAAUGGAAAAAUGAGUUUGCUAUUGUCCAACCCUUUGCCAAUGGUGCUCAAUGAGAUCUUGCUGAAGCUGAAAGUGGGUGUUUGCAUUUUCAAUCUCCUUGUAUGUCUGAAGAAAAGCUCUAAUGCGGUUAGGGUCUCUAGCUGGUUUGACACGGCUGCCUACAUUGUCAUAGAAGAAUUCCAAGUUCAUGCCUCUCUUAUCUUCGAGAAUCAUGUUGUGAAGAAUAACACAGCAUGUCAUGAUAUUCUUCGAGGUCCGCUUGUCCCAAAAAUGAGCAGAUCACGGACAAUGGCAAACCUAGAUUGCAAAACCCUGAAUGGUCUUUCAAUGUCUUUUCGGGCUGCCUCUUGCACUCUUGCAAACUCACAUUGUUUUUUAGUUUUUGGUUUUUUGAUGCUCUUGACAAAUGUGCACCAAGGAGGGUAUAUACCAUCAGCAAGGUAG